rnacentral:rRNA from 1 species
UAACCGGCGAUUUCCGAAUGGGGAAACCCAGUGUGAUUCGUCACACUAUCAUUAACUGAAUCCAUAGGUUAAUGAGGCGAACCGGGGGAACUGAAACAUCUAAGUACCCCGAGGAAAAGAAAUCAACCGAGAUUCCCCCAGUAGCGGCGAGCGAACGGGGAGCAGCCCAGAGCCUGAAUCAGUGUGUGUGUUAGUGGAAGCGUCUGGAAAGGCGCGCGAUACAGGGUGACAGCCCCGUACACAAAAAUGCACAUAUUGUGAGCUCGAUGAGUAGGGCGGGACACGUGGUAUCCUGUCUGAAUAUGGGGGGCCCAUCCUCCAAGGCUAAAUACUCCUGACUGACCGAUAGUGAACCAGUACCGUGAGGGAAAGGCGAAAAGAACCCCGGCGAGGGGAGUGAAAAAGAACCUGAAACCGUGUACGUACAAGCAGUGGGAGCACGCUUAGGCGUGUGACUGCGUACCUUUUGUAUAAUGGGUCAGCGACUUAUAUUCUGUAGCAAGGUUAACCGAAUAGGGGAGCCGAAGGGAAACCGAGUCUUAACUGGGCGUUAAGUUGCAGGGUAUAGACCCGAAACCCGGUGAUCUAGCCAUGGGCAGGUUGAAGGUUGGGUAACACUAACUGGAGGACCGAACCGACUAAUGUUGAAAAAUUAGCGGAUGACUUGUGGCUGGGGGUGAAAGGCCAAUCAAACCGGGAGAUAGCUGGUUCUCCCCGAAAGCUAUUUAGGUAGCGCCUCGUGAAUUCAUCUCCGGGGGUAGAGCACUGUUUCGGCAAGGGGGUCAUCCCGACUUACCAACCCGAUGCAAACUGCGAAUACCGGAGAAUGUUAUCACGGGAGACACACGGCGGGUGCUAACGUCCGUCGUGAAGAGGGAAACAACCCAGACCGCCAGCUAAGGUCCCAAAGUCAUGGUUAAGUGGGAAACGAUGUGGGAAGGCCCAGACAGCCAGGAUGUUGGCUUAGAAGCAGCCAUCAUUUAAAGAAAGCGUAAUAGCUCACUGGUCGAGUCGGCCUGCGCGGAAGAUGUAACGGGGCUAAACCAU